rnacentral:rRNA from 1 species
UGGGGAAUAUUGCACAAUGGGCGCAAGCCUGAUGCAGCCAUGCCGCGUGUAUGAAGAAGGCCUUCGGGUUGUAAAGUACUUUCAGCGGGGAGGAAGGGAGUAAAGUUAAUACCUUUACUCAUUGACGUUACCCGCAGAAGAAGCACCGGCUAACUCCGUGCCAGCAGCCGCGGUAAUACGGAGGGUGCAAGCAUUAAUCGGAAUUACUGGGCGUAAGGCGCACGCAGGCGGUUUGUUAAGUCAGAUGUGAAAUCCCCGGGCUCAACCUGGGAACUGCAUCUGAUACUGGCAAGCUUGAGUCUCGUAGAGGGGGGUAGAAUUCCAGGUGUAGCGAUGAAAUGCGUAGAGAUCUGGAGGACUACCGGUGGCGAAGACGGCCCCCUGGACAAAGACUGACGCUCAGGUGCGAAAGCGUGGGGAGCAAACAGG